UACAGGGGGGGCAAGCGUUGUUCGGAAUUACUGGGCGUAAAGGGGUUGUAGGCGGCCAACUAAGUCCGACGUGAAUUCCCAAAGCUUAACUUUGGAACUGCGUCGGAUACUGGAUGGCUUGAAUUCGGGAGAGGGAUGCAGAAUUCCAGGUGUAGCGGUGAAAUGCGCAGAUAUCAGGAGGAACACCAAUUGCGAAGGCAGCUCGCUGGGACGUUACUGACGCUGAGACGCGAAAGCGUGGGGAGCAAACAGG
rnacentral:rRNA from 1 species